GACCGGCUCCCGGACGAGGUGGUGCCGUACCCGGACUGCGACAAGACGGCGCC
rnacentral:ncRNA from 1 species